rnacentral:rRNA from 1 species
UACGGAGGGGGCAAGCGUUGUUCGGAAUUACUGGGCGUAAAGGGCUCGUAGGCGGCCCACUAAGUCGGAUGUGAAAUCCCCGGGCUUAACCUGGGAACUGCAUCCGAUACUGGAUGGCUUGAAUCCGGGAGAGGGAUGCAGAAUUCCAGGUGUAGCGGUGAAAUGCGUAGAUAUCUGGAGGAAUACCGGUGGCGAAGGCGGCAUCCUGGACCGGCAUUGACGCUGAUGAGCGAAAGCUAGGGGAGCAAACGGG